rnacentral:lncRNA from 1 species
ACGACUAUAAAAGAAUAUCUCCAAAGUUCAUCAAGACUUAACCAAAUCAGAUUAGAGGAAUCAUAAUUUUCAACUUAUACAUAUCAUCUUAAGCCUAAAGACAUUCUCAAACCUGAACAGUAUUCAAACAAUCCCCAAAUACAAACCUCAAGACGACAUACAACACUGACAACAUGAAUGAAAUAUACAUAGUGAAACUAAAUUGGAGGACACAUGGACAAAAUAUAAUGAAUUCAGUAGUUAUUUGACAACAAAAGCUAGUGUUUGUUAUUUCUAUUCAAUCUGAUUACAUGGCUUUCACAUUUUGCACCUCAUAUGUCACAUUCAAGAGUCAGUGCAUACCUGGAAUGUAAUAGGAAAACAAGAGAAAUAAGGAAUUAGCAGCAGAAUAGUAGCAAGAACAGUAGUCAGCAGCAGGCAAUCAGCAGUAGUUUUCAACCAGUUUCAAAUCUAGAAAAAUGAAAUAACAACCCAGGAAAAAUAGUUUUAAUCCAAGCAAAUUAACCAGAAGACCAUAAACCGUCUUGAUUUCAACUCAUUUCAACUAUCAGCUAUCCAAAAUUUGUUUCAUCCCUAAGGAAACUUCAUAAAUCACCAAUAACUCAAUGAAACAGUGUUAUUCAUUAGAGUUCUCAGAAUGUUCUCUUAACUCUUCUCAGUAUUUUAGAGUCUCAGAAUCUAUGUAUUUUAGAGUACCAGACUGUUCCUCUUUUUGUAUGAACUUAGUGUCUAUCCCUCUCAGAAUGUUCUUCUUCUUUUUUUUUUCUCUGAUUUUCAGCCUUUAAAUAGGCAUUCAAUUAGUGUCAUUCCCAUUAUCAAUUCUAUUUUUCAUUUCUUAACUAUCCACUAACUUAGUGCUUUUAAUUAAUUCAGUAAUGCAAUUUCUACCCUACCACUAUUGAGAAGCUUCCUAAGUUAGGUAAACAAUCUCCUUUAUUGAAUAAUUCCCAGACUACCCCUUAAGUUCCUAAUUAUUCAAUUAGAAUCUCUAAAAGUUCUCAACAUUUACAGAAUUGCUAGGCAACCAGAACCAAAGGGCAUCAGUUUCUGAAACCUAAAUAGGUUUAGCAUUGAAAUAGAAUCAACAAUAACCCUUCAUAUGAAAAAUCUGAACUGACAUUAGCAAGAAACGAACAAUGAAGAGCCUAUUUGAGAUUCGACCUUUGAAUUAAAACAUCACGAGGAUACUAAUAUGCUGCCUAUUAGAAUAAUAUAAACCUAAAUUGAAAACUGGAAACCUACUGAUUCAAUGGCAAACUCAUGAGCUUAAACAACUAAAACAGAAGCUGGAUACAAACCUAAAACUAGACAGAAUGGAUAGACCAAAAUCAGGGCACAAUCCUUUUUUUAGGAAUUAAAAUAAAAGCUAAAAAUGGACAGAAAUGAACGAACAAACAAAUUAACCUAAUAGGAAGAAACUAUUAUAAUUUUAAUCCAAAGUCAAACAACUAAGAUACACAAAGUAGAAAAGAAGAAGAGAUAGAGAUGAAACAAACACUAAAUGAACAGAAAUAAUGAAGGGAACUUACCGGCUAAACUUGAAAUUACACUCGAUACUCUGAUUCAUCUGAAACUGAUGCCAAUCAUUUGUUCUUUGUCAAGAACAAAUGAGCAGCAUCGGUUUUGUAGUGAAUCAAUCCUUCUAAUGAUGAAUAUUAGAGGUCUGGAUCAAUGCAUGUUAUUGGGUUCAUCGGAAAUCGAUUUUGAACUUUUAGGGUUCGAUCAUAGAUUUGAGAUUCGAACGAUUCUGGCAAGAUUCGAAGGAAACUAAUCUAGGAUUUGGAAAGAGGGG